rnacentral:rRNA from 1 species
CGGGGUGCAGCAGGCGCGAAAACUUUACAAUGCUGGCAACAGCGAUAAGGGGACCUCGAGUGCCAGGAUACAAUCUUGGCUGUCGCGAUGCCUAAAAAGCAUUGCAUAGCAAGGGCCGGGCAAGACCGGUGCCAGCCGCCGCGGUAACACCGGCGGCUCGAGUGGUAACCGCUAUUAUUGGGUCUAAAGGGUCUGUAGCCGGCCGGAUAAGUCUUUUGGGAAAUCCAGCUGCUCAACAGUUGGGCUUUCAGAAGAUACUGUUCGGCUCGAGACCGGGAGAGGUGAGAGGUACUUCAGGGGUAGGGGUGAAAUCUUGUAAUCCUUGAAGGACCACCAGUGGCGAAGGCGUCUCACCAGAACGGAUCUGACGGCAAGGGACGAAAGCUAGGGGCACGAACCGGAUUAGAUACCCGGGUAGUCCUAGCCGUAAACGAUACUCGCUAGGUGUCAGCCACGGUGCGACCGUGGUUGGUGCCGUAGGGAAGCCGUGAAGCGAGCCACCUGGGAAGUACGGCCGCAAGGCUGAAACUUAAAGGAAUUGGCGGGGGAGCA